CAAUUAUUUUGUUCACAGGAGUAGGGGAUGUCCUGAUAUGUGUGUAAGGAAUGCAUUGUGUGAAUCUGUGUUUGUAUGUGUAAGGGCUGCAAUGUGUGUUUCAAUGUAUGUACGGGAUGCAGUGUGUGCGUCUGUAAGGGGUGCAUUGAGUGUGUGUAAGGAAUGCAUUGUGUUUCUGUGUGUGUAAGGGAUGCAUUGUGUGUAAGGGUUGAAUUGCUUGUGUGUGUGUGUGUCUGUGUGUGUAAUGCAUUGUGCGUUUUUCUGUGUGCAAGGGGUGCAUUGUGUGUGUGUGUGAUGGAUGUCAAUCUCUCCCCCCUCCC